CUCAUUUUGAGGCUGUUACUACCUCAGCUUUUGAGCACCUUUUAAAUAUUACUGGAAAAAUUGGAUCUUGCCUUUUCUUAGACAUAUCUGACCACUUUGAGCUAUCCAGCAUUCCAGUUUCCAACGGAGUCCUAAAAUAUCUUUCAGGAACUCCUCUGCCCUCCCAUGCAGCAGUUAUAUGUGGCCUAGUAAAAAAUCAGGUUUAUACAGAUCUAGAAGUAGCUUUUUUCAUUUCAGAAGAGGAAGCCAUCUUUAAGGCAUUGUCCAAAACCGUGGAAUUACUGGAAGGGAAUACCGUACUAAUUAGUCAGUAUUAUUAUGGUUGCCUUUUCUGCGAGAUUCUGGCCUUUCAGCUUGCUGAUUGACAUCCACCUGCAGAGGGUUGUUCUUUCUUUUAUUUUUGAAGUUCUUUUCAUUUAAUAUGCAUUUGAAUAUCUGAUUGUUUUAUAAACUUUACACAUUUGAUAAAUUAACCCUUCAUUUGACAA